UAAGGAAUAUUGCUCAAUGGGAGAAAUCCUGAAGCAGCAACGCCGCGUGGAGGAUGAAGGGUCUAUGACUUGUAAACUCCUGUAAAGAAGGAAAAAAUUCCCAUUAGAUGGGAGAUGAUGGUACUUCUGGAGUAAGCCCCGGCUAACUACGUGCCAGCAGCCGCGGUAAUACGUAGGGGGCAAGCGUUGUCCGGAUUUACUGGGUGUAAAGGGUGCUCAGGCGGAUUUGUAAGUCAGAGGUGAAAUCUUACAGCUUAACUGUGAAACUGCCUUUGAUACUGCAAGCCUAGAGUAUGGAAGAGAGUGAUGGAAUAUCUGGUGUAGCAGUGAAAUGCGUAGAUAUCAGAUAGAACACCAAUGUCGAAGGCAGUCACUUGGUCCAUUACUGACGCUAAAGCACGAAAGCGUGGGUAGCAAACA
rnacentral:rRNA from 1 species